rnacentral:rRNA from 1 species
UCCUCCCGCUGGCGGCGUGCCUAAUACAUGCAAGUCGAGCGAAGCGGCGGAUGGGUGAGUAACGCGUGGGUAACCUGCCCUUAAGUCUGGGAUACCAUUUGGAAACAGAUGCUAAUACCGGAUACUCAAGGAUGGACCUGCAAUUCAUUAGCUAGUUGGUAAGGUAACGGCUUACCAAGGCGAUGAUGCAUAGCCGAGUUUGGAGACUGAUCGGCCACAUUGGGACGGAGACACGGACCAAACUCCUACGGGAGGCAGCAGUAGGGAAUCUUCCACAAGGGACGAAAGUCUGAUGGAGCAACGCCGCGUGAGGGAAGAAGGUUUUCGGAUCGUAAAGCUCUGUUGUUGGUGAAGCGGUAAUCAACCAGAAAGUCACGGCUAACUACGUGCCAGCAGCCGCGGUAAUUC